UGUACAGCAGAGAAACAAAGGAGUAGGCCAAGGAGUCUCAGUUCAUGUACCAGUUUGUCUUCCAAAAGGCAAAGUCAGUUAACAAAGCAAGGUCUGAUAUUCUAACAAGGCAACCCAGGCUUCAAGGUUCCUCAGCUUAUGCAAAAAAUCCUUCACAGUGUCAAGCUGCCAAAGGGUUCUGUAGCCCACGUCCAUGUGCAGAGAACUACCAACCCAUUGGAGAAUGUGGGAAAGGACACCCUUGCUGUAAAAGCAAAUAUUUACGCAACUAGAACAUGUGGACCUGAAAGAAGCCACCCCAUGCUUUGGCAAUAGGCGGUUUCUCCAACAAAAGCACAAGCUCUUGCUAUUUGACUCCCAAAGUAUCUCAGGACCGCAGAAGAGAGUCCCUGCAGCAUGGAUUAAAGAUUUUUUCUCUCCACUAAGGGGCUGGACUAGAUCACAUUUGAGAUCCCUUCUGACUCUAUCAUUCUAUGACUAUGUUCUUAAUAAAUACAUAAUGCCAUUCUGUAAAUUCUGAUGUGUGUGUGUAUAUGGCAUUUGUGUGCCAUAUGAUUGUAUGUAAAAAGUAAUAAAGGUGGUAGUUUUAUUUAUUUUACCACAUGGGUGGGAAACCUUAGGCCUGGGGGCUGAAUGUGGACCUUUAAGCAUCUCUAUCUGGCCCUCAAGACUGUCCCCACCCAAGCCACAUGCUCCUCACUGGUCUUGCUUCACACACACACUGAGUGCUUUUGCCUGGCUGAAAGGGCCUUUGGACUCUGAUGACGCCUCUUAUUUGCCCAAAUGGAAGACAGAGAGGGAGGUGUAUGUUUGUCUAGAUUGAAACUACCCUACUGUACAAAGGAGAAAUAUGCAUUCAUUGCUCCACAUAUAUUUGCCUCUGUACACUCCCACCCCUGUUCCACCAAAACACAAUCUUAA